ACUGCGGUAUGGGCACUUUCAGU
rnacentral:miRNA from 15 species